UUGCUCUUUCAUACAUAAACCCCAUGAAUGCGUCUAUGCACGUAACAACAUCAAACAGCGCAUUACGGACUACAGUACGUCCAGAGAAACAAGACUAGAUUUCGUCGUGUAAGCUGGCAACAUUUGCAUCCCUACUACAACGAGAUAUACGCACCUUUCCGGACAUAGGCCUAGGCUUGGACCACCCGGUUCAAUGACGCCGAUAAGGCAUCAUAUUUCUUUAUCUCUUUAGUCUCCGUUUAUCAAGGGGCAGAUGAUGUGUAUACGCCAACUUGGACUUACUAUGAAGAUUUAAUGUUUUUAAAGGAUCAAGAAGCUAUUAGAACAUCCACCUCGAAAUUACAAGCACAUGAGGCUUGUGACAUUAGUGGAGAGGAAGUCGAUGAAUCAUUGGUAAGUGAUGCAUCAACAAGCAAUGACACAACCCCCACACCUCAACCAACAUCUACCAUCAAGAAAAGGAAGAAACAAACUCCUACAACCGCGAUGGAACAACUAGUCACGGUGAUAGGCGAACGAAUUCAAAAUUCACCGUGGGGGGGCAGAGGACCACCAUGAUCAUUUUGGAAAGAGUUUGGCUGCUAAACUGAAGAAAUUCCCAGCACGCAAAGGAUCUAUGCUGAAAACUCGGGGCCAUAUACAUUGAGUAUACAAGAUACAGGGACAGUAACAUACACAAUCUAGAUACAUGAGAUAUGAUAAAAUAGAAAAAGAAAAUGAAUAAUCGGCACUUAUCCAUAAUAUAGCUGAGGUAGCAUAAAAGCUAGUAAUCAUCAUACUGGUAAUAACAGUAAUAAUAUUGGUGAGAAAAAAAAAAAUGCAUUGCGAGU